CAUUAGCAAGAACUUUUAAAGACGAAUCCAUUGAUAUAAAUUUCAUGUAUGAAAAAAGACAUAUCAAUAGAGUUUUAAUUGGUCAAAUGUUUGUCUUAACGAAACAAAAUACGCCAACCUUUGUAAAAUGGAAGGAGUAUGGAUCACUUUGCUGCCUUUUUCGAACACUGGGAGAGGAAUUCUGCAUGGUCUGUUUUCUAUCCUUGAAAGAGCAUGGCAUUGUGUCAGCUAGAGUUGCACAAGUGCAGAGAUAAACUUGCCCACUGCACGCAAAUAGUCUAAUUGCGACAUGCAGAAAUUGAGGGCACAUGUCAAUAAUAAAAACAGACAAAGAGAGUUAAAUUAAAAGCCCCACAAAAAAAGAGAGUUAAAUUAAAAGCCCCACAAAAAAGAGAGUUAAAUUAACAACAUCAAUAAAGGAUUGGCAACAAUUCUAACAAAGAUAAAUUUUUGGUGGUCAUAAUGCUUGCCUGUUUAACUCUCUGGGUCAUGAGAUUAUCCACCACACAACGAUAUGCAUUGAGUAACAACAUAGAAGAGACAAUAAUUUGAAGCUGCAUAAAAAUUUGUGAUUAGGAAGAAAAAGAUUACCUCUUUUGUUAUGGUGCCCUUGUGUUUUCAAUGCAGCUAAGGGAGACAAAAAUUUGAAGCUGCAUAAAAAUUGUUGCCUGUUGGCAAAGCUAGAUAAAAGUAGAGGGCAAUUGGUGACCGCAAAGCUAGCAAAUCCAUAGGUAAUAAAAGUAGAGGGUAUUGGUGCCGGUACACCAUUACAAAGCUAACAGACCUAUUGCUAUAUGGUUAGGCCAACCAGCUAGGGAUGACCAGCUCACUCGAACGCUGUCGGUUCUUUAGAAACAAGUCAUUCUUCAUACACUUUUCUCCCAAAAAUCUACAUGUUUCUUCACAUAAACUUAGCAUUGCUCCUGAAGCUCCAGAAUCCCAAAAUGUACCAAUAUGUACAAGUAUUUUCACUGCUGCUGGUAAGAUGGUGCCAUCAGAAAAUGAGAAUCACCUAUUUUUCACCUCAGAUUUACAUUUGUUCACUCUAAGUCUUAACUAUGACAACCACUUGUUAACCAUUGAAGGAAAGAUUUCAAAGCAAUCAUGGAUUAGUAAUAGUAAAUCUUGAGUGGAUAUUGUUAAAUUAAGGAAAAGCAUUGUCCUUGUAACUUCUCCGGUACUCCAGAAAUCAACCAAAAAAAAACUCAUUGCAACAACAAAUCUACCUUCCUGAUUAUAUUUCGAAAACAUAUGUGUUCGUGUGUAGUAUUCCUGUGCAGGCCUAGCUAAGCUUCAACCUAAUUUGAUUGGUCCCCUGCAAUAAUAGACGCAUCUUGAAUAACUCAAACUCUAUUAUGCUAUUCUACACUAAAAUUGAAGAAUGAGCAAACAAUGUAUUGAUUAAAUUUGAUCCACCUAUAUUGUUUUUUUUAUAGAGACAGGUUGACCCAAAAAAGGUGGCCACCUCUUCAAUCAAUAAUAGAAGUGCAUAUGUUCAGCAAGCAUCUUCGACAGUGAUAUGUUCAACACGUUUGGACUCACCAGGUAUUAAAACAGACGGGCAUGACGGAGAAGUGGGGCGGCGACGGCGGGGCGAGACGACUCGGCGUCGGGCCUGGACGAAUCGGUGGCGGCGCCUGCAGGGGAAGAGGCACGGCCGUGGGGGUCAGAGGCGGAGGGGCAUUGAAUUGAACCACGAAAUUGAUGGUUGACGGGGUCCGAAAUUGGUAACCUCGAAAGGGGCCGAAAUUGCUAACCUCGAUGGGGAGGGGGGGAGAUCACAGGGAUGGCGAGACGUCGGGGUCCCAGUCGCGACAGUGGACAGCGGGGGCUUGCGAUGGCACGAGGGAGGACGGCGGACGACAGAGGACGACGGGGUCGC
rnacentral:lncRNA from 1 species